rnacentral:rRNA from 1 species
ACCCUAAACCAACCAUGCCGCGUGUUUGAAGAAGGCCUUCGGGUUGUAAAGCACUUUCAGUCGUGAGGAAGGUAGUGUAGUUAAUAGCUGCAUUAUUUGACGUUAGCGACAGAAGAAGCACCGGCUAACUCCGUGCCAGCAGCCGCGGUAAUACGGAGGGUGCGAGCGUUAAUCGGAAUUACUGGGCGUAAAGCGCAUGCAGGUGGUUUGUUAAGUCAGAUGUGAAAGCCCGGGGCUCAACCUCGGAAUUGCAUUUGAAACUGGCAGACUAGAGUACUGUAGAGGGGGGUAGAAUUUCAGGUGUAGCGGUGAAAUGCGUAGAGAUCUGAAGGAAUACCGGUGGCGAAGGCGGCCCCCUGGACAGAUACUGACACUCAGAUGCGAAAGCGUGGGGAGCAAACAGGAUUAGAUACCCUGGUAGUCCACGCCGUAAACGAUGUCUACUUGGAGGUUGUGGCCUUGAGCCGUGGCUUUCGGAGCUAACGCGUUAAGUAGACCGCCUGGGGAGUACGGUCGCAAGAUUAAAACUCAAAUGAAUUGACGGGGGCCCGCACAAGCGGUGGAGCAUGUGGUUUAAUUCGAUGCAACGCGAAGAACCUUACCUACUCUUGACAUCCAGAGAACUUUCCAGAGAUGGAUUGGUGCCUUCGGGAACUCUGAGACAGGUGCUGCAUGGCUGUCGUCAGCUCGUGUUGUGAAAUGUUGGGUUAAGUCCCGCAACGAGCGCAACCCUUAUCCUUGUUUGCCAGCGAGUAAUGUCGGGAACUCCAGGGAGACUGCCGGUGAUAAACCGGAGGAAGGUGGGGACGACGUCAAGUCAUCAUGGCCCUUACGAGUAGGGCUACACACGUGCUACAAUGGCGCAUACAGAGGGCAGCCAACUUGCGAAAGUGAGCGAAUCCCAAAAAGUGCGUCGUAGUCCGGAUUGGAGUCUGCAACUCGACUCCAUGAAGUCGGAAUCGCUAGUAAUCGUGGAUCAGAAUGCCACGGUGAAUACGUUCCCGGGCCUUGUACACACCGCCCGUCACACCAUGGGAGUGGGCUGCAAAAGAAGUAGGUAGUUUAACCUUC